rfam:Slackia sp. CM382 contig00022, whole genome shotgun sequence.
GAGCGCGGCCACGGAGGCGGGGAUCACCCGGUCCCGUUCCGAACCCGGCAGUUAAGCCCGCCAUCGCCCGACGUACUGCGGGGAAAGCCCGUGGGAGGCAGGGCCGCCGCGCUCG